rfam:Agrobacterium sp. DSM 25559 isolate DSM25559 genome assembly, contig: DSM25559_contig16
GUCCACGUAGCGGCGGACCAGAGCCAGAAUCCUCCCAGGACGAUGGCGACAGCCGGCCAAUAUCGCGAUGUCAUCAUCGCGAGGCCGGCUGU